GGUUCCGUAGUGUAGUGGUUAUCACGUUCGCUUUACACGGGAAAGGUCUCCGGUUCGAUCCCGGACGGAACCA